UACGGAGGGAGCUAGCGUUGUUCGGAAUUACUGGGCGUAAAGCGUGCGCAGGCGGUUUUUGUAAGUCUGUCGUGAAAUCCCCCGGGCUCAACCUGGGAAUUGCGAUGGAGACUGCAAGGCUAGAAUCUGGCAGAGGGGGGGUAGAAUUCCACGUGUAGCAGUGAAAAUGCGUAGAGAUCCGGAGGAACACCGACGGCGCAGGCAGCGUCCUG
rnacentral:rRNA from 1 species